CUGGUGUUUCUAAUACCACAAAAUGCAUUUUUCAUAUUUUUGAAAACGCACGUGCGUCUGAGAAGUAAUGGUUAUGAAGUCGCGUUUUAGUCUAUUUUUACGGGUAUUUCAACGUCACAGAGUCUUCUUUCACUCUCUUGUAUCCGAAUCUGUUACAAGUUUGUAAAUUAACUAAACUUAUAGUGUCCAUUUUUACAGGUUGAAACUAGGGUCUAGGUGAAAGAUAUGCCUUAGUGUUUAAAAACUAGGGUCUAGGUGAAAGAUAUGCCUUAGUGUUUAAAAACUAGGGUCUGUCCCUUGAAUUUUUCAUGACGCUAAAUUUAAAAAGACUUUAACUUUAAAGAGAUUUACUAGAGACUGUGUGAAUGUUUUGUCAGUGGUUAACUGAACGCAUACAAUAAUAGUUGCAUGCUGUUGAUUAAACCAAAAGGAUAGUAAACAACAAUAGUUAAUUAUCAUGCAUAUUACUGCAGUUUUCUACCAAAUUUAAGUUGUCCAUAAGCUGCAUGCAUAAUGGCAAAAUUGGGCAAAAAAAUUUAUUUCAACGCUCCCUACAACUUGAGCUAAUUUUUAAUUUUUUUUAGUUUUUGUUAUGACUCCUUACUAAAGUUUGAUGUCGUUAAUUUUUCGAUUAUUUGGAUUUUGCUAAAUUUUAAGAUUGCUUAUAUUUUAUACUUUAAAAUAUUUCAUCAGUCUUAAAACAUACGCAACAGAUACCUGUUAUCUCAGAUAAUGAAAAAACAGAAAUGAUCGUAAUUCCAAUAGCCAAUACCUCAAACUUAUUUUCCUGACACCCUUGGCUUCAAAUGAUCAAAGUUUGACUUUAUAUUAUACUUCCCACAAAUUAAAUUGUUAUCCUUACCUUAUAAUUAGCCAAAUUUAUCAGCAUCACAUUUUCUCUCCAUACACAUUUUAUGUCAUUUUUAUUCUGGUAUUCAUACAUUUACAUGUACAUACAUGUACAGUAUACAAGUCUGGUGAAUACCGUAGUUUUGUUUUAGUUACCGUAGUGCUACAAUGAUGUGUAUAGUCUAAAAGCAAUGUUACCAAAGUGUAAAGAAAGAACGGAAUGUGAUGUACAGUAUUUUACCAUUUUAAAAUAACAUCGGUCUACAGUUCACUUAUACAUGUACAUGCUGCUUAAUAUUGACAAGCUAGUUGCUCAACCACUGGUGUUGAUAUACUAGUUGCUUGCCAAUUAUAAUAUGCUAGUUGAUUAGCCAUUUGUAUUGAAAUGUUACAUUCAUUUCAUUUCAACUUAUUUUCAUGUUUAUAUCCAAUUAAGGUUCAAGCACGCUGUCCUGGACACACACCUCAGCUACUUGUACAUGUAUAUGGGCUGUCUGUCCAGGACAGUGGGUUAGUAGUUAGUGAGAGAGAAGAGGGUGUAGUGGUCUUACACCUACCUACUGAGCCAUUAAAACUCACACUGGGUGGUGAGCCGGAACCAGUCUGCGAACCUGGUACCUACCACAUUUAUGUCCGAUGGCUUAACCACGACACCACCGAGGCCGGUGAAAUGUUACAGGUAGCUGCUUGCCAUCAGUUGCCAGCCAUAUAAUGAGAAACUAGUUACAGAACUAUUGGUAUUGAUAAGCUAGUUGUCUACCAUACACUAGUGAGCUAGUUGCUUAUGUUCAUUAGUUAGUUACUUGCCACACACCAAUAAGCUUGUUGUUUACCAUACACUAGUAAGCUAGUUGCUUAUAUUCAUGAGUUAGUUAGCUGCCACACACCAAUAAGCUUGUUGUUUACCAUACACUAGUAAGCUAGUUGCUUAUAUUCCGGAGUUAGUUACUUGCCACACACCAAUAAGCUUGUUGUUUACCAUACACUAGUGAGCUAGUUGCUUAUAUUCAUUAGUUAGUUACUUGCCACACACCAAUAAGCUUGUUGUUUACCAUACACUAGUAAGCUAGUUGCUUAUAUUCCGGAGUUAGUUGCCACACACCAGUAAGCUUGUUGUUUACCAUACAUUCCUAAUGGUUGCUUACCAUACUACAUAAUACAUGUAUAUUAAGUUUAUUAAUUACCAUACACUGAUUACCAUACAAUGACAAGUUGUUUAUCAUUCAGUAUUAAAGAAGUAGUUGCUUGCCAGAUAAUUAUAAGCUAAAUCUUAUCAUACUUUGAUUGACACAAAUUUGUUAUGAAAUUAAUAAAUUGUCAUGUAUAUACCACUUUUUAUCAGUGUAUGUAAAUAACAGGCUAAUUAUUUACAGUACUGUAGCAGCUAUAACUUUCCUAUUUUGGUUUGUAAAGAACAGUUUCAUUGUCCUUUAUGAUUUACAGUCAUAACUUUCCUAUUUUGGUUUCAAGUUUUCAGACAGGCCAGUUAAUUUAGUAAUUUUGUGUAGAUUUUAUAGAAAUUGCAGGUGCUACGUAUAUUUUGUUAAAUUGCUUUGUAAGCAUUGAUGUUAAUUCAAUCAAAAUAACAGUGAUAGCUUGUAAUGCUGAAGAUUGUAUUUGUUGCCAAGAACAUUAACAACAGUUAAAUAGAAUGUGCAGUAGAUAAAUAUAUGAUCUGUUGAAUAUUUGUAACUCUGUCUCUUUUUAAUGUCUUAGGCUAUUCCUUUUUAUUUUGUUGCAUUUAGUGAAUUGCUGUUUUCACAUCAGAUUGAAAAGCAUAACACUGCAGUAGAAUGGUUUUCUCAAGACCUGUUAAGUUCACAAAUCCAUAGCAAUACUUGUAUUUCCACUUAAAUGUUUCAGAAUGUAAUGGCCAAUUAUGUGUUUAAACAAAUUAUAAAAAUAAACCUCUUUUUUUUUUUUUAAACAAGAGUGAAUCUUGGACAUAUGUAAUACAUUCCAAAGAACAUAGAUCUAAAACCAAAGAACUGAAAUGUGUUGUUAUGAGGUGGAUACUAUCAAAUAUUAUUUAAUAUAUUAAAUAUUUUAUAAUUAAAAUGUUUCCUUUAUUAAAGUUUGUGAUAGUUAACUUGAGUAUUCAACAAAAAUGUUUGUACACUUUGUUUGUUUUCAGCUUCUUUCCACAUAAAACAUUUUUCUUGGGGUUCCGCAAAGUUAAAUCAGAAAAAACUACCCAGUUUGUUUUAAGAACAAGAAUACAUAAAAAAUAUUAUAUAUUUUUUUGUACAUAUACAUUGUAUAUGUGUAUUUUUACAAAAUAUUGCAUUACAAAAUACAAUGUAAGAUACGCAUGCUAUAUUAAUAUGUGUGUAUUACAAGGAAAUACUGGAUUUAAUUGUACACGUGAUGUACUUAUUGAGAUGUACACUGUACACUGUAGUAUUACUAGUGCAUGUAGCUCAAUCUAUAUAAUAAUAUAGAUAUGCUAGUUUUUAUGACAGCAGGUUUAAUGUAUGUGUGGCCAAUAUAUGUAUUGAAUAUAAAUUACAAUAUGUAUAGAAUUAAUGGUUAUCAUUGACACGGACUUUAGGGACAAUUUCUUUUUAAUUAUUUGAUUGGUGUGAAUAAUUACUGAAACCUGUUAUGGUUCGUGUUGGGUGUAAAUGCAGAUUAAAGAGAAAGGGGAAUGUUUAAUGGCACCUCAGCACAUUGUUUGAUCAGUGGUUGUUGUGUGUCAAGACAUGGUGUCAUUGUUAAGACUCAGUCGAGUAAGUUGGAGAAUAAAAGAAAUGGAAUGAUUGUUUAGUGGUACCCCAGCACAUUGUUUGAUCAGUGGUUGUUGUGUGUCAAGACAUGGUGUCAUUGUUAAGACUCAGUCGAGUAAGUUGGAGAAUAAAAGAAAUGGAAUGAUUGUUUAGUGGUACCCCAGCACAUUGUUUGAUCAGUGGUUGUUGUGUGUCAAGACAUGGUGUCAUUGUUAAGACUCAGUCGAGUAAGUUGGAGAAUAAAAGAAAAGGAAUGAUUGUUUAAUUGCACCCCAGCACAUUGUUUGAUCAGUGGUUGUUUUGUGCCAGUAAUUGGUCAUUGAUUGUUAUACUUGGUUGAUCAAUUUAGAGAAUAAAGUAUAUGGUACCUAAUUGUUAAUCGAUAGAGUGUUCGAGAUUAGAGGAGUGGAAUAUAUGUUUAAUUAUUCAUAGCACCACAGCUGGUUUUUUAGUGACUAUUAGAUAUAUCUAACAUGCAGUGAUUGUCAGUUUCAUAAUACAUAGUUUUUGUUUAGGACAUCAUAAAACUGUUACAUUUGACAUGGUAGUCCUGACUUAUACUUGGAUGUUGAAGUAUUAAAACUGUUCUGGUGAAUUGGGGGAACAAACUGGACAAAUUCUUUCCACGAGAGGGUAAAUACAUUGUGCAGUGUUUUAGCAGAAAUACCAAAGGGGAAACACGUUUUUUUUUUUUAACAAACUGUGUAGAUUGUUAUGCAUGCAUGUACCAAGUUAGUCCGAUGUUGGUUAUUAUUAAUGUAAACAUUUCAACAAAUAAGUAAAAUCACAGCCAUUUACAUGUACAAUGUAGCAGAAUUACGACUCAUUUCAUGUUUCUUCCCCUGUUAAAAUAUUCCAUUUGCUUUGUGAUACAUGUGCUAAUAUCCGUUUGUUGGGACCAAAUACAUGUACAUCAUGCAUUAGGAAGAGAUUCUUUUUAUAUAGAAUUUCGAUAACCAAAUAAUCAUGGCAGUUACGUUUUUGGUAUGUUGCUAUGGUAAUGGUAACUGAUGGUGUAAACACCAGAUUUUUGUAAUGUAAUCAUAUUACUUCUCUCUCUCCCCCCCCACCCCCCCCCCCCCCCCCAAUUGUAACCAUGGCACAUUUUUAUUUUGUAGUUAUAAUUUGAUUUUUCUCUGUAAUCAUUGAAAUUUGUGUUCCUAUAAAUGUGCCAAUAGUAACUGGUCCAUUAACCACCAAAUUCUUGUAAUAUGUAACCAUGGUUUUUGUCUCCUGCAACCAUGGUAGUUUUUUUUUUUUUUUUUCAACCAAUCUGGCGAUAUACUUGUCUCUGUAACCAUGGUAACUGUUUUGUUUUUUUGGUAAUCACCAUAUUCUGUUCGCUUGUGUUGAAUGAAUACAUUAACGAGUCUCUUUGUAUUUUUAUUUUCUUGUUCACUGUACAUUAAAUAAAAUAAACAUAAGUAUGAUUUUG
rnacentral:lncRNA from 1 species